GGGUUGUGAGGUUAAGCGACUAAGCGUACACGGUGGAUGCCCUGGCAGUCAGAGGCGAUGAAGGACGUGCUAAUCUGCGAAAAGCGCCGGCGAGGUGAUAUGAACCUUUGACCCGGCGAUGUCCGAAUGGGGAAACCCAGUGUGAUCCGUCACACUAUCAUUAACUGAAUCCAUAGGUUAAUGAGGCGAACCGGGGGAACUGAAACAUCUAAGUACCCCGAGGAAAAGAAAUCAACCGAGAUUCCCCCAGUAGCGGCGAGCGAACGGGGAGGAGCCCAGAGUCUGAAUCAGCGCGUGUGUUAGUGGAACGGUCUGGAAAGUCCGGCGAUACAGGGUGACAGCCCCGUACACGAAAAUGCACACGCUGUGAACUCGAAGAGUAGGGCGGGACACGUGGUAUCCUGUCUGAAUAUGGGGGGACCAUCCUCCAAGGCUAAAUACUCCUGACUGACCGAUAGUGAACCAGUACCGUGAGGGAAAGGCGAAAAGAACCCCGGCGAGGGGAGUGAAAAAGAACCUGAAACCGUGUACGUACAAGCAGUGGGAGCCUCUUUAAUGGGGUGACUGCGUACCUUUUGUAUAAUGGGUCAGCGACUUAUAUUCUGUAGCAAGGUUAACCGAAUAGGGGAGCCGAAGGGAAACCGAGUCUUAACUGGGCGUUAAGUUGCAGGGUAUAGACCCGAAACCCGGUGAUCUAGCCAUGGGCAGGUUGAAGGUUGGGUAACACUAACUGGAGGACCGAACCGACUAAUGUUGAAAAAUUAGCGGAUGACUUGUGGCUGGGGGUGAAAGGCCAAUCAAACCGGGAGAUAGCUGGUUCUCCCCGAAAGCUAUUUAGGUAGCGCCUCGUGAACUCAUCUUCGGGGGUAGAGCACUGUUUCGGCUAGGGGGUCAUCCCGACUUACCAACCCGAUGCAAACUGCGAAUACCGAAGAAUGUUAUCACGGGAGACACACGGCGGGUGCUAACGUCCGUCGUGAAGAGGGAAACAACCCAGACCGCCAGCUAAGGUCCCAAAGUCAUGGUUAAGUGGGAAACGAUGUGGGAAGGCACAGACAGCCAGGAUGUUGGCUUAGAAGCAGCCAUCAUUUAAAGAAAGCGUAAUAGCUCACUGGUCGAGUCGGCCUGCGCGGAAGAUGUAACGGGGCUAAACCAUGCACCGAAGCUGCGGCAGCGACGCUUAGGCGUUGUUGGGUAGGGGAGCGUUCUGUAAGCCGUUGAAGGUGUGCUGUGAGGCAUGCUGGAGGUAUCAGAAGUGCGAAUGCUGACAUAAGUAACGAUAAAGCGGGUGAAAAGCCCGCUCGCCGGAAGACCAAGGGUUCCUGUCCAACGUUAAUCGGGGCAGGGUGAGUCGACCCCUAAGGCGAGGCCGAAAGGCGUAGUCGAUGGGAAACAGGUUAAUAUUCCUGUACUUGGUGUUACUGCGAAGGGGGGACGGAGAAGGCUAUGUCAUCCGGGCGACGGUCGUCCCGGUUUAAGCGUGUAGGUGUGUGUUCCAGGCAAAUCCGGAGCACUUUAACACUGAGGCGUGAUGACGAGGCACUACGGUGCUGAAGUGACAGAUGCCCUGCUUCCAGGAAAAGCCUCUAAGCAUCAGGUAACACGAAAUCGUACCCCAAACCGACACAGGUGGUCAGGUAGAGAAUACCAAGGCGCUUGAGAGAACUCGGGUGAAGGAACUAGGCAAAAUGGUGCCGUAACUUCGGGAGAAGGCACGCUGAUAUGUAGGUGAAGCCCCUGCGGGUGGAGCUGAAAUCAGUCGAAGAUACCAGCUGGCUGCAACUGUUUAUUAAAAACACAGCACUGUGCAAACACGAAAGUGGACGUAUACGGUGUGACGCCUGCCCGGUGCCGGAAGGUUAAUUGAUGGGGUUAUCCGUAAGGAGAAGCUCUUGAUCGAAGCCCCGGUAAACGGCGGCCGUAACUAUAACGGUCCUAAGGUAGCGAAAUUCCUUGUCGGGUAAGUUCCGACCUGCACGAAUGGCGUAAUGAUGGCCAGGCUGUCUCCACCCGAGACUCAGUGAAAUUGAACUCGCUGUGAAGAUGCAGUGUACCCGCGGCAAGACGGAAAGACCCCGUGAACCUUUACUAUAGCUUGACACUGAACAUUGAGCCUUGAUGUGUAGGAUAGGUGGGAGGCUUUGAAGUGUGGACGCCAGUCUGCAUGGAGCCAACCUUGAAAUACCACCCUUUAAUGUUUGAUGUUCUAACGUGGACCCGUAAUCCGGGUUGCGGACAGUGUCUGGUGGGUAGUUUGACUGGGGCGGUCUCCUCCCAAAGAGUAACGGAGGAGCACGAAGGUUGGCUAAUCCUGGUCGGACAUCAGGAGGUUAGUGCAAUGGCAUAAGCCAGCUUGACUGCGAGCGUGACGGCGCGAGCAGGUGCGAAAGCAGGUCAUAGUGAUCCGGUGGUUCUGAAUGGAAGGGCCAUCGCUCAACGGAUAAAAGGUACUCCGGGGAUAACAGGCUGAUACCGCCCAAGAGUUCAUAUCGACGGCGGUGUUUGGCACCUCGAUGUCGGCUCAUCACAUCCUGGGGCUGAAGUAGGUCCCAAGGGUAUGGCUGUUCGCCAUUUAAAGUGGUACGCGAGCUGGGUUUAGAACGUCGUGAGACAGUUCGGUCCCUAUCUGCCGUGGGCGCUGGAGAAUUGAGGGGGGCUGCUCCUAGUACGAGAGGACCGGAGUGGACGCAUCACUGGUGUUCGGGUUGUCAUGCCAAUGGCAUUGCCCGGUAGCUAAAUGCGGAAGAGAUAAGUGCUGAAAGCAUCUAAGCACGAAACUUGCCCCGAGAUGAGUUCUCCCUGACUCCUUGAGAGUCCUGAAGGAACGUUGAAGACGACGACGUUGAUAGGCCGGGUGUGUAAGCGCAGCGAUGCGUUGAGCUAACCGGUACUAAUGAACCGUGAGGCUUAACCUUACAACGCCGAAG
rnacentral:rRNA from 1 species